rnacentral:misc_RNA from 1 species
CAGGCUCGCUCAGGUGGCAUUUCGAUCCUCUGGCGGUGGCCCCAUUGUGGUGUCGUCGGUGGGUAGCGUGCUUCUCUUCUUGCUUUGGGACGAUGCUUGAGCGGCUUUUAGGACGUAAUCCUAGGACAGGUUCCGUGCUUCCGCAUCGAACUGUCCUAGUCCGUCCCUCUCAUUAGUCGUGGUCCGUCGUUGUCCUUUUAGGGUCAGUUGCGGUCACAGAUUGGGUUCUUGUUUCGGAUAUCCCAAUGCGGCAGUUGGAAGGAUUUUCGCUUCUAUUGUGAUACCAUCGGGCGUCCGACGUUCUUCGUCGGGAAAGCCGACCCCCAAUCGGGCGCUUCUCCUCUCGAAUACGGAGAUUUCGUCGAUUGGUCGCACCGGUCCUUGGUGGUCGUUGUCAUCCAGACGUAAAGCGCUAACGCUUCUGCUCGCACGAUCCUUGCGCUUUGCCUCUGUGAGAUCGCGGAGCCUAACCCCUCCGCAAUCGCCUCGGGGGCGGGCAUCGAGAUUUUUGGAGGAACAC